AAAAAAGAAAGAAAGCAAACUUUCAUUGAGUGGGACCCAUCUCUCAUCUUCUCCUUCUCUCUUCAAACCCUAAAGGUCACGCAUUUCGGCAACUGCCAAGUUCGCUGAAUCAAAGUUUUUUUUUUUCCAUCUCUCUCUCUUCGAUUGUUGCCUCCGAGAUAAACUCCACUCGAAUCGAAGCUUAAAUUUCGGAUCUUACUUACUUACUUACUUACAGCUGUCUCCUCGAGGAGACGAUGAGCAGAGAUCAUCCACCCGAGCCUCUUGAUUUCUUCAUCUGGACUGUUGAGGACGUUGGAUCUUGGCUUGAGGAGAUCAACCUUGGGAGCUACCGC